CUGAGUCCUGCACCUGCUGUAUGCAAGUGUGUGUGGAUGUGUGUGUGAGGGAGAGAAAAGAUGCAUUAUGAAUGAGUGAUUACGGGACAGCAGGUGUGUGUGAGAUGCACGUGUGCGCAGCUGUAGUGUGCGUGCAUGAGUGUGUCUCAGCCUGCCUAUCCCUCCCCCUAAACACACCAUACUGAGUGUGACUGUGAACUCAUGGCCUUAUCAACAUGGUGGCUGCACCACUACAUCCGCAGUCCUCCUCAGUCCCCCACAUGUGAAAUCUCUAACAUGGCUUAACGUGUCCAGCUCCCACCCCCGACUAGCAGCGAGCUCUUCCAGGUUGUCUCCUCAGGGACAGAGUGCUGUGCCUUCUUAGUCCCUUGCCUUUACUAUGCAUGUUGGGCAACAUGCAUGUUGCCUGUUCAUGAGAGGCUUACAUGAGCAUGAAUGUGACUGGGAAUGUCUCGCACCAGACUGAAUAUCAGCAGCUGAGGAGUUAUAUGGAUAUAACUCACCCAGAUGUAUUUGGUGAUGCUUUGCUAUCAUUGCCCCAGAUCCCAGUCACAUUCUUGUUUUGUGAUUUGGUCCUUUCCCCAGACUAACAGCACUAACAAACGGUUACAUCAGGUAGGUGUCAGUAUUCAGUUUGGCUGGACUUUCAGCUAGAACAUGAAGAUUUCAGUAGCUGGAGGGCUUGUGCUGAAACAGCACAUGGUUAGACAUAAAAACAGUGAUAUGACAUUUUUUGGUCAGUGGAAAAACUCUCUCGCUUCCUGGUCCUCUUCCCCCUCAUGUCUCACGCCGUUGUCCCACACAUUUUACAGUCUCGACUCAAGAAACCCAGCACUCGGCGAUGGAAUAUCAACGGUUCCCCCUUACUUAAAUGCACCAACACAAGAGAUUUGAAAUAACUCUGGGAUCAAAGGAAGACC